AGUAGCUGCGUCCCAACCCGAUAGUUAAAACGUUCCACCUGGACGUAAACACAUCUCUUUUACGCCUUAAUGUGUCUCCUCUGAUUGCAAUCGCCAACCAUUGUUGUCCGGUAUAGACUCGAAGCAUUUCUAUGCAUACUAUGUCGGCAAAAUUCGUACGUGGUUUCCCCAUCUAAUUGGACCGUCGAUGCCACAUUGACCCAAGCUGUGUGAUGUGUGAAGCCACACAGCUUGGGUAGAAUAACGCAUUCCGCGCCGUACUCCUGAAAAGGGAAAAUAGCACAAAAGCGUGGUGCCUUGCCGACUACUUCACGAUUGAAAACGAUAACCGCGCAAAAAAGCUGUCAGUAUCUUUGCAAAGCAGAACGGGGCUCAGGGAAAGGACAAUUUGGAGAAGCAGCUAACUGUGCGUUAUUAUGUCAGACGUUCGUUAGCAAAAGUGACGCAACGAAAUAUAGAGAAAGGAAAGAGCCAGACCAGAUGACGGAAACAGUGUGUGGCGGAUUGAGAAACAUUCGAACGUUGAACUGAAUCAUCGCUUCGAAGGCAAAUCUAAAGGGUCGAGAGAUUUCCACAGCUCAAUGCUGAGGUCGAUCACUGGUGCCAUAACGAUACGGAUUGAAGCAGCAAAUUUCGGCCUUGGAAAUCCAGGUCUCACGGAGCACAACGAAGCGAGCAGAUUUCAAUUGAUGGACACGACCUCGCCGUUGUCGCCGCCAGCAACGCCGAGAGAACGAAGGGCGGCAAGGUCCUUAAAAAGACUCGCAGCUUCUCGUAUUCCAAUGCGCGUAAAUGGAUAUGGAUAGACCGGUUUGUUAAAAGCUGUAGUGGCUAACGAAUUGCUAAAAGACGCAUGAAAAAGCGUAUAAGUUACCUAGCUACCGCGCCAGCCAGGCAGGCCGUGAGCGAGACGACCAGAUCACAGCGAACGUCGGAUCUUGAGCGCGGACGUGGUUUGAGUCUACUACGAACGGCAAGCAUACAGCAGAACGUAAAAUGUAAUACAUUGCCGUUCCACUGAUAAGGUGGUCGGCUAUAGGAGCGGAAACUAAGGGUGUUACAGUCUCUUGUAAUAUCAGCCAACAGUCACGUGCUUGAAUUAAUUCUUAAUUUGCUUAAAAGACGUAAAUUGAUCUCCUCUGAUCCCCGCAAACGCUCCUUCCCAGGCUUCACUUCCCUCGUAUGUUAAAAUAUCAGUAAGGCACUGGUACAAAUGUAUCAAAAGAAAAGAAACCAAAAGGGUACCUCGACACGAUAUUACCUACCGUACACAGUAUACCGCAUUCAACAAACGACGGUAAAGCCAUUCUUCUCAUCUUCAUCUUUAUAUCUGCACAAUAGGUUCCUGACGUAGAGCUCACCGUUCGAGCUAUUCUUCUAUGUGCAAGCAGACACAAUGACGAGUAAGUGCAUCGUCUGUAGGCCAUGCUGAGCCAAGGCCCGGCUAACUGUCCUUUGUUCUGUCCAGUAUACAAGUCCACGAAUGUACACGAAUCCCACAAACAGACUUUACCCAAAAAAAUUACGAAUGUUUGCCAGUAUAAUAGACAAGCUGGCGGCAGCAGCAGCAUCAGUAGUAGCAGCUGCGUGUGACAUGCGAUAACAAAGGACAACUAUCGCACCGGAGACGUAUCUGGCCUGGUCAAAUAGAACGUUUCUGCAUAUGAAUUGCAGGGGGGUGAAGGGUGUUGUAGCAAAAUGAUAUUUCCACGUACAAAUGCUGGUUCAGGGCAGUUUGAUAAAGGUUGCUCAUUACAGGUGGACUAGGCCAUCUUAAGGUGUCAUACAAUAGCAGCAACACACAAUAACAAUAAAGACAGUAAAAGCGGCUGGUUCAGAGGCGGGGAUCGAUUCUUGAUCUGUGCCAGUAUCUGCCACUCUUUAUAGGUACCUUGACUUGUACAAGUCUUCUAAACUUGCUUGUAGGUCUCUCCUUGUAGGAGGGUUUGUGAAUUUGUAGGCGAGUGGCCACGGGCGCAUAAGCAACCAUAUUGGCUACAAGAGAUAUCGGAUGGCGUGUGGCACUAGUACGAAGUAUUGGCAUCUGCUAGAAGAACUUGUACUCCUGUAUGAAGGCUACCUGCAGCCGUUGCCCUAGGCAAUACUUCUAAUCAGAGCUGUCCUGACGAGCGCAGUGAGCUCCAAGGCGCAAUCAGCGCGGUAGAUCUGGAUAGGUGGGCAACCAACGCUGGGAAUGAGCACUAUUGAUCGUGAAGAGAUGUUUCCGUGCAACAACUAUGACGUGAUCAAAAUUCCAGGGGGUUUUUACGAUAAGACUUAUGUUGAUGCUCUAUGCACUAACUUGGUUCACUUCUGACGGGUGAACGUUUGCUAAGCACUAGUAAAGCCACUAAUAUAAAAACUCUCUUGGCUCUGUGAGACAAUAAAUUGACUCGGGCGUGUUUAUCAACGAAACGUUGGGAUAGGUGGUAGUUUGGGCUCAAUCCGGACGUCGAUAGACUUUACUUUGUGUUGGGAAAAAGCGUAUUUCUGACAUUUUUUUUUAGAGUAAAGACGUUGCCCCUGUAAGACAGUGCAGCAACAGUGACCUGUCAGCUACGAAACCUAAAGGUGUAUGCUAAGAUAAUGGACAAUCUCGUUUCGUGUUGUAUGAAUCAGCCAUUUAAAACAGCAACCCCGAGCCGGACGCUAGGUCAUUGUAGGUCGCAAUAUCAAUGAGCGGCAAUAAUUUCAAAAUGGUCGUACGGGUUGAAAGUGAAGCAACUAGUUAUUGAUGGUUGGUAUAUCGUACAUUGUACGUGCUGCAUGUAUGCAAUCCAUAUAUUAGAACAGUUUAUAUUGUAAACGGAGAACAGGUUAGAGUGAGGUAUGUUCGCAAUACGAACUUGAAUUUCUAAAUGAGAUAUCUAGUAAAAGUAGGUUUAAACAUGAAGCUAUAUGAUUGAUGGGAAGCAGCUUUCCUAGUCAACGAAAACCCUAUCUCUGAUUAGGUAGCGAAGAGAAUUAACUGCUAUAUUAUACUGCCGCGUCCAUUGCGGGACCGAAGCACGUUAGGAAGAACCAUCUCAAACAGAGAAGACCAAGACGCAGUAAGCACACUCAAGGACAGCUUAACUUAGACAUUACUAUUAGGAUGUUUAUUAAUACAGCCAGAUUGAGCUGAGGUCGUUAACCAUGCCGUGCUUUCGGAUAGCUAUUGCGUAGACGAAAUAAAAGUAAACAAGAAUUACAUCAAAAUUUGAUAGAAAUAUUUGGCCUAAUUGUCAAGGGAAAACGCCUGUUUUAUGUUGACACGAAUAGAGUCUGUUAGCUUGGGCCUAAUGAAUCGAUUCCGGUUCUCUAUAACUCGGAUUAGCUUUAGCUGAUCUUAACAGAAGCAGCAAUAAUAUAU